UACGAAGGGGGCGAGCGUUAUUCGGAAUCACUGGGCGUAAAGCGUGCGUAGGCUGUUCGGCAAGUUGGAAGUGAAAGCCCAGGGCUCAACCCUGGAAUUGCUUUCAAAACUGCCAAACUAGAAUCUCGGAGAGGAUAGCGGAAUUUCCAGUGUAGUAGUGAAAUACGUAGAUAUUGGAAGGAACACCAGUGGCGUAAGCGGCUAUCUGGACGAGCAUUGACGCUGAGGCACGAAAGCGUGGGGAU
rnacentral:rRNA from 1 species